rnacentral:rRNA from 1 species
CCUACGGGUGGCAGCAGUGAGGAAUAUUGGUCAAUGGGCGCGAGCCUGAACCAGCCAAGUAGCGUGAGGGAUGAAGGCUCUAUGGGUUGUAAACCUCUUUUAUAAGGGAAUAAAGUGUGGCACGUGUCCUUUUUUGUAUGUACUUUAUGAAUAAGGAUCGGCUAACUCGGUGCCAGCAGCCGCGUUAAUACGGAGGAUCCGAGCGUUAUCCGGAUUUAUUGGGUUUAACGGGUGCGUAGGCGGCCUUUUAAGUCAGCGGUGAAAGUUUGUGGCUCAACCAUAAAAAUGCCGUUGAAACUGGGAGGCUUGAGUAAGUUUGAGGCAGGCGGAAUGCGGGGUGUAGCGGUGGAAUGCGUAGAUAUCACGCAGAACCCCGAUUGCGAAGGCAGCCUGCCAAGCCAUGACUGACGCUGAUGCACGAAAGCGUGGGGAUCAAACAGGAUUAGAUACCCGUGUAGUC